rnacentral:tRNA from 1 species
UAUAUAAUAUAAAUUAUUAUAUUUGACUUCCAAUCAAAAAAUCUACAUGUAGUAUAAGUA